rnacentral:tRNA from 1 species
CGGCGACUUGGGCGAGGCCGAGCAGCACGGUGUCCUGAUACGACGCCAGCGCGGCAUCGUACGCCGCGAUGGCCGA